GUACUCCGGGGAUAACAGGCUGAUACCGCCCAAGAGUUCAUAUCGACGGCGGUGUUUGGCACCUCGAUGUCGGCUCAUCACAUCCUGGGGCUGAAGUAGGUCCCAAGGGUAUGGCUGUUCGCCAUUUAAAGUGGUACGCGAGCUGGGUUUAGAACGUCGUGAGACAGUUCGGUCCCUAUCUGCCGUGGGCGCUGGAGAACUGAGGGGGGCUGCUCCUAGUACGAGAGGACCGGAGUGGACGCAUCACUGGUGUUCGGGUUGUCAUGCCAAUGGCACUGCCCGGUAGCUAAAUGCGGAAGAGAUAAGUGCUGAAAGCAUCUAAGCACGAAACUUGCCCCGAGAUGAGUUCUCCCUGACUCCUUGAGAGUCCUGAAGGAACGUUGAAGACGACGACGUUGAUAGGCCGGGUGUGUAAGCGCAGCGAUGCGUUGAGCUAACCGGUACUAAUGAACCGUGAGG
rnacentral:rRNA from 1 species